AUUGAACGCUGGCGGCAGGCCUAACACAUGCAAGUCGAACGAGCGGCGGACGGGUGAGUAAUGUAUGGGGACUGCCCGAUAGAGGGGGAUAACUACUGGAAACGGUGGCUAAUACCGCAUACUGUCGGAUAACCCAUAUGGGAUUAGCUAGUAGGUAAGGUAAUGGCUUAACUAGGCGACGAUCCCUAGCUGGUCUGAGAGGAUGAUCAGCCCAAAUGGGACGGAGAACCGGCCCAGACCAGAAGGGAGGCAGCAGUGGGGAAUAUUGCACAAUUGGCGCAAGCCUGAUGCAGCCAUGCCGGGGGUAUGAAGAAGGCCCUAGGGUUGUAAAGGACUUUCAGUCGGGAGGCGUUACCGACAGAAGAAGCACCGGAUAAAGCCGGGCCAGCACCCGCGGUAAUAC
rnacentral:rRNA from 1 species